CUCUCCAAGAUCAAGUGCU
rnacentral:siRNA from 1 species